UACGUAGGGGCCUAGCGUUGUCCGGAAUCAUUGGGCGUAAAGAGCUCGUAGGCGGUUCGGCAAGUCACGUGUGAAAUCUCCACGCUUAACGUGGAGGCGCCACGUGAAACUGCCGUGACUCGAGUCCGGUAGGGGAGUGUGGAAUUCCCGGUGUAGCGGUGAAAUGCGCAGAUAUCGGGAGGAACACCAGUAGCGAAGGCGGCACUCUGGGCCGGUACUGACGCUGAGGAGCGAAAGCGUGGGGAGCGAACAGGA
rnacentral:rRNA from 1 species